UGAUGACAUUCUCCGGAAUCGCUGUACUGUCUUGAUGAAAGUACUUUUGAACCCUUUUCCAUCUGAGGGCACCGAGCGAGCUCUCUCGGC